rnacentral:rRNA from 1 species
GACGAACGCUGGCGGCGUGCUUAACACAUGCAAGUCGAACGUGAUUUUUGUGGAAAUUCUUUCGGGAAUGGAAAUGAAAUGAAAGUGGCGAACGGGUGAGUAACACGUGAGCAACCUACCUUACACAGGGGGAUAGCCGUUGGAAACGACGAUUAAUACCGCAUGAGACCACAGAAUCGCAUGAUAUAGGGGUCAAAGAUUUAUCGGUGUAAGAAGGGCUCGCGUCUGAUUAGCUAGUUGGAAGGGUAAAGGCCUACCAAGGCGACGAUCAGUAGCCGGUCUGAGAGGAUGAACGGCCACAUUGGAACUGAGACACGGUCCAAACUCCUACGGGAGGCAGCAGUGGGGAAUAUUGCACAAUGGGGGGAACCCUGAUGCAGCGACGCCGCGUGAGCGAAGAAGGUUUUCGAAUCGUAAAGCUCUGUCCUAUG